rnacentral:rRNA from 1 species
GACGAACGCUGGCGGCGUGCUUAACACAUGCAAGUCGAACGGAAAGGCCCUGCUUUUGUGGGGUGCUCGAGUGGCGAACGGGUGAGUAACACGUGAGUAACCUGCCCUUGACUUUGGGAUAACUUCAGGAAACUGGGGCUAAUACCGGAUAGGAGCUCCUGCUGCAUGGUGGGGGUUGGAAAGUUUCGGCGGUUGGGGAUGGACUCGCGGCUUAUCAGCUUGUUGGUGGGGUAGUGGCUUACCAAGGCUUUGACGGGUAGCCGGCCUGAGAGGGUGACCGGCCACGUUGGGACUGAGAUACGGCCCAGACUCCUACGGGAGGCAGCAGUGGGGAAUAUUGCACAAUGGGCGGAAGCCUGAUGCAGCAACGCCGCGUGCGGGAUGACGGCCUUCGGGUUGUAACCGCUUUCGCCUGUGACGAAGCGUGAGUGACGGUAAUGGGUAAAGAAGCACCGGCUAACUACGUGCCAGCAGCCGCGGUGAUACGUAGGGUGCGAGCGUUGUCCGGAUUUAUUGGGCGUAAAGGGCUCGUAGGUGGUUGAUCGCGUCGGAAGUGUAAUCUUGGGGCUUAACCCUGAGCGUGCUUUCGAUACGGGUUGACUUGAGGAAGGUAGGGGAGAAUGGAAUUCCUGGUGGAGCGGUGGAAUGCGCAGAUAUCAGGAGGAACACCAGUGGCGAAGGCGGUUCUCUGGGCCUUUCCUGACGCUGAGGAGCGAAAGCGUGGGGAGCGAACAGGCUUAGAUACCCUGGUAGUCCACGCUGUAAACGGUGGGUACUAGGUGUGGGGCCCAUUCCACGGGUUCCGUGCCGUAGCUAACGCUUUAAGUACCCCGCCUGGGGAGUACGGCCGCAAGGCUAAGACUCAAAGGAAUUGACGGGGCCCCGCACAAGCGGCGGAGCAUGCGGAUUAAUUCGAUGCAACGCGUAGAACCUUACCUGGGUUUGACAUGGAUCGGGAGUGCUCAGAGAUGGGUGUGCCUCUUUUGGGGUCGGUUCACAGGUGGUGCAUGCCUGUCGUCAGCUCGUGUCGUGAGAUGUUGGGUUAAGUCCCGCAACGAGCGCAACCCUUGUUCACUGUUGCCAGCACGUUAUGGUGGGGACUCAGUGGAGACCGCCGGGGUCAACUCGGAGGAAGGUGGGGAUGACGUCAAGCCCUCAUGCCCCUUAUGUCCAGGGCUUCACGCAUGCUACAAUGGCUGGUACAGAGAGUGGCGAGCCUGUGAGGGUGAGCGAAUCUCGGAAAGCCGGUCUCAGUUCGGAUUGGGGUCUGCAACUCGACCUCAUGAAGUCGGAGUCGCUAGUAAUCGCAGAUCAGCAACGCUGCGGUGAAUACGUUCCCGGGGCU